UUGUGAGCAGAGCAGGCACGUGAAAGGGGAGGCGAUAGCUAGUAAGCGGCUCCUGGCCUGGUGCUACUAUGGCUAGUGACGAGGACAUUUGCUCCCCCUUAGGCUUAAAAUCGUUCGUUUGGAGGCACUUCGGAUUCCAGAAAAAAGAUGGAUCAACGGACAAGAGGCGUGCUGUUUGCAAAUUCUGCCAUGCGGUGAUAAAAUACUCUGGGAACACCACAAAUCUCGCCGCACAUCUAAAAAAAAAACACGACAUCUCUCCCUCAAGCAGCGACCGCGAAAACAACACAGACACGACGCCCUCCGUGAACACAUUUUUCCCCCAAAUGCUAAGUAAAAACUCUAAACGAGCUAAAUCCAUCACUGCUGCAAUUUCAUAUCAUAUUUGUAAAGACUUGAGACAGUUUAGUAGCGUGGAGGGUGAGGGAUUUUCCGAGUUGAUGAAUACGCUAGAGCCCAGAUAUACAAUACCAUCGAGACAGUACUUUAGUGAAACACGUGUACCACGUCUAUAUACCUGUGUUAAAGCGGAGGUAUUACACGAACUAAAGGAAGCAGGACGGGUUGCUAUCACUGCAGAUGGAUGGACUUCUCGCUCAACUGAAGCCUACAUUAGGUCACUUGCCACUACAUUGAUACAGCAUGGACGAUAAAAAACUACGUGCUUCAGACUCGCGUUUUAAGUGACUCUCACACAGGACCGAACCUAGCCUCUGUCCUAAACGAAGCAUGUGAAGAAUGGCACAUUGCAGAUAAAAACCCAGCUCUUGUAACUGACAAUGCCAGGAACAUGACCGUAGCAGGAAUAGAGGCGCGUCUGUCACCGCACAUAAAAUGUUUUGGACAUACUAUCAACUUGGCAACUCAAAAAGGACUCAAAUGCAAUGAUGCUGCCUGUCUUUUAGGUAGAGUACGCCGUUUUGUGAGUUUUUUUCACCGCAGCACGCUGGCCAAUGUUGUGUUAAAAGAGAAGCAAAAACUACUUGAUCUCCCGCCACACAAACUCAUCCAAGAUGUCAUCACACGUUGGAACAGCUCGUUUGAUGUGGUGGAGCGUUUUUUUGGAGCAACAGGCUGCUGUGUGUGCUGCACAGCUUGACCAAAAAAUCAGAAAGUCCAUGAAGAAUGAUUUACAAACACUAAAUGAAGAUGACAUAUCCACAGCUGAAGAAAUUAUACAGUUACUGAGGCCUGUGAAAACUGCAACUACAAUAAUGUGUGAGGAGGCACAACCAACUAUCUCAGUCAUUGCUCUACUGAAAAGUAAAUUGAUUGAACAUUUCAGUGUCUGUGAGGAUGACAUGCCACUGAUCAAAGAAAUGAAACAAACAAUGGCCAAAGAGCUCAAGCAUCGUUACACAGAUGUCCAAGAAGUAUUAAACACUGCAGCUGCCCUUGAUGCAAGAUUCAAGACCCUGCCCUUUGUGUGCAAAGAGGAGGGAUGCCAUGUUCAAGAAUAUCAUAAAUGAGGCUGCACACUUGUGGGACCAAAAAGAAGACACACAGGCUCAUGAUGGCACUGCAAUGGAGGAAACUCACACAACACACCCAUCUGAAGAGGCAUGUGAUGAUGAGCUCCAUGCUUCAGAAUAUGUUCCUGUCUCAAAAAAAAACAAAGCAAUGGAGGAUCUGUUUGGGGACACAUACACUGCGAGCAGCAACUUCGUGAAAACAUCCAAGCAGCUGGCAGAGAUGGAAGUAUAUAGAUACAAAGAGACUGAAUUAUUAACACUCAAAGGUAAUCUGUUAGAAUGGUGGGGAAGUCAUGAAAUGGAGUUUCCCCUCCUUGCAAAUCUAGCCAAAACCUAUCUCUGUAUUCCUGCAACAAGCGUGCCCUCCGAGCGUGUAUUCAGCACUGCAGGUGACAUUGUCCGCUCAGAACGUAGUGUUUUGACACCUGAGCAUGUCGAUCACUUGAUUUUCUUGAAGAAGAACCUAACAAAGAACGCACUAAUAUUAAUAAUAAUAAAU